rnacentral:rRNA from 1 species
CACAUGCAAGUCGAACGAAGCACUUUAAUCGAUUUCUUCGGAUUGAAAUUUUAGUGACUGAGUGGCGGACGGGUGAGUAACGCGUGGGUAACCUGCCUCACACAGGGGGAUAACAGUUGGAAACGGCUGCUAAUACCGCAUAGGCGCACAGUACCGCAUGGUACGGUGUGAAAAACUCCGGUGGUGUGAGAUGGACCCGCGUCUGAUUAGCUAGUUGGCAGGGCAACGGCCUACCAAGGCGACGAUCAGUAGCCGACCUGAGAGGGUGACCGGCCACAUUGGGACUGAGACACGGCCCAAACUCCUACGGGAGGCAGCAGUGGGGAAUAUUGCACAAUGGGGGAAACCCUGAUGCAGCGACGCCGCGUGAGCGAAGAAGUAUUUCGGUAUGUAAAGCUCUAUCAGCAGGGAAGAAGAAAUGACGGUACCUGACUAAGAAGCACCGGCUAAAUACGUGCCAGCAGCCGCCGGUAAUACGUAUGGUGCAAGCGUUAUCCGGAUUUACUGGGUGUAAAGGGAGCGCAGGCGGAAGGCUAAUUCUGAUGUGAAAGCCCCGGGGCUC